CAAGCGGUGGAGCACGUGGUUUAAUUCGAAGCAACGCGAAGAACCUUACCAGGUCUUGACAUCCCGAUGCUAUUCUAGAGAUAGAAGUUACUUCGGUACAUCGGUGACAGGUGGUGCAUGGUUGUCGUCAGCCCGUGUCGUGAGAUGUUGGGUUAAGUCCCGCAACGAGCGCAACCCUUGUCAUUAGUUGCUACAUUCAGUUGGGCACUCUAAUGAGACUGCCGGUGACAAGCCGGAGGAAGGUGGGGAUGACGUCAAGUCCUCAUGGCCCUUAUAGGUGGGGCUACACACGUCAUACAAUGGCUGGUACAAAGGGUUGCCAACCCGCGAGGGGGAGCCAAUCCCAUAAAGCCAGUCGUAGUCCGGAUCGUAGUCUGCAACUCGACUACGUGAAGUCGGAAUCGCUAGUAAUCGUGGAUCAGAAUGUCACGGUGAAUACGUUCCCGGGUCUU
rnacentral:rRNA from 1 species